AUUUGUCCUUGAUGGCACUGAUAAUCUCUUUAGAUAAUUCAGCAGGAACAGCAGGACAGCCU
rnacentral:misc_RNA from 1 species